CGACCAUCCUGACUGGGCCCCCAGUCUGAAUUUGGGGUACAAGAGAAAGGUCAUUGACAAAAAUGACAGGUACAACCGUCGCAAGGCGAGAAGCGCUGCAAACAAGAGGGCUCUGCAAGCUGCUCAAGACUGCCCCCCUUCUGCUGAGGACGGCCC